CGACAUGUCAUCUGCGACGUCCUGCUCGUUGUUAUCAUUCGCGUAGGCGGCGCAGGUGAAUAGGUCG
rnacentral:pre_miRNA from 1 species